rnacentral:rRNA from 1 species
UACGAAGGGGGCUAGCGUUGCUCGGAAUUACUGGGCGUAAAGCGCACGUAGGCGGCUUUUUAAGUCGGGGGUGAAAUCCUGGAGCUCAACUCCAGAACUGCCUUCGAUACUGGGAAGCUCGAGUCCGGGAGAGGUGAGUGGAACUGCGAGUGUAGAGGUGAAAUUCGUAGAUAUUCGCAAGAACACCAGUGGCGAAGGCGGCUCACUGGCCCGGUACUGACGCUGAGGUGCGAAAGCGUGGGGAGCAAACAGG